AUUGAACGCUGGCGGCAUGCCUUACACAUGCAAGUCGAACGGCAGCACGGGGCAACCUGGUGGCGAGUGGCGAACGGGUGAGUAAUGCAUCGGAACGUACCUUUCAGUGGGGGAUAACGUAGCGAAAGUUACGCUAAUACCGCAUAUUCUGUGAGCAGGAAAGCAGGGGAUCGCAAGACCUUGCGCUGAUUGAGCGGCCGAUGUCAGAUUAGCUAGUUGGUGAGGUAAAGGCUCACCAAGGCGACGAUCUGUAGCGGGUCUGAGAGGAUGAUCCGCCAACCUGGCACUGAGACACGGUCCAGACUCCUACGGGAGUAAGCAGUGGGGAAUUUUGGACAAUGGGGGCAACCCUGAUCCAGCCAUGCCGCGUGAGUGAAGAAGGCCUUCGGGUUGUAAAGCUCUUUCGGCCGGGAAGAAAUCGCACGGGCUAAUACCCUGUGUGGAUGACGGUACCGGAAUAAGAAGCACCGGCUAACUACGUGCCAGCCGCCGCAGUAAUAC
rnacentral:rRNA from 1 species